UUCAGUCAAUUUUGUUCAAGAAGCAUCGAGAGAGAGAGAUGGAGAGAGAGAGAGCUAAAUCAGAGAGCUCCUCGGCCAUCUUCAUCUUCUUCAUCCUUCGUCGUCUUCAACAUCGCUGGUGCGUGUGUGCACCGAUGAGCUUGAGCUUUGUCGUUCUUUAUUUCCUGUGGCUGAAACCUUCUCUCUUUGUUGUUGUGCUGCCGUGUGAUGCCAUCGAACCUUCCCCUCCCUUCAGUUUCUCCCUUGUCCAUCUGCUAUUAAUGGCCAUAGCAGAACCUUUCCUUCGACAGUGCCACGAUGUGCCUGAAUCUGGUUUCUCCUCCCUUGUACAACUCGUGAGCCCUACCCCCUUUCUCUAUUUCUGCUAUUGUGAUUUAAGUCUACUGUGGAUAAUGAAGUAUAAAAGAGGAUGGGUUGCUUGUCGGAGGGAGAUGGGAAGAAGAGAAAAUCAAUUAACGUGGUAAGAAGAGAACAAUGUACUUUGAAAGCACUUCAGGGCUUAGCUCAUCAGAAUAGGGUUGAGGAAAAGCACCCUAAGUUGUAGGAUUGUGGUGAAAUUCUACUUUCAUGCCUCUUUACGUUACUUGUGUAUUAAUGUAGUAUACUUGCCAACUAGGAUCACAUAUAAUUAUUUUUGUACUACUUGCAUUAUUAUAAUAUAUAAUCUGUGUAUUUUGUGCCCUAAGUUAGUGAGUUUUGGUUAUAAACCCAUAGGUAGGGUCAAAAUACUUGUGCAAGUAGAAUAUGUGAAUUUUGAAAGAUUUAGAAUGAAAAUGAUGAUUUUGUGCAACAAUUUUCCUCCCCUUAUGUUUUUGUGAAAAUCGGGGUUGAGUAGUGAAUUUAUGAUAUAUGUGUUUUUCAUUGUAUGUGGUGUGUUGGAUGGGUCCGCUAGAGCUCAUUGAGUAUGGUCAGAUAGUUGGUAUAGGCUUUUGGCACGUGAGAUUGAGUUGGGACACAAAAGUUGUGAAAUUUUUUGAAAAAGUGGUAAUAUAGGUUUUGGUGUCCAACUUUUUAUAGAAAAAGAAUUUGAGUGUGAAACCAGUGCCAUUAGCUAGAGUUAGGAGAA